GAUGAACGCUGGCGGCGUGCCUAACACAUGCAAGUCGAGCGAAGCGGGGACGGGUGAGAAACAUGUGGAUAACCUCCUAUAAGACUGGGAUAACUUCGGGAAACCGGAGCCAAACCGGCUACUUAUAGAUGGUUCCGCACUGCAUUAGCUAGUUGGUAAGGUAACGGCUUACCAAGGCAACGAUGCAUAGCCGGCCUGAGAGGGUGAUCGGCCAAACUGGAACUGAGACACGGUCCAGACUCCUACGGGAGGCAGCAGUAGGGAAUCUUCCGCAAUGGGCGAAAGCCUGACGGAGCAACGCCGCGUGAGUGAUGAAGGUCUUCGGGUCGUAAAACUCUGUUAUUAGGGAAGCGGUACCUAAUCAGAAAGCCCCGGCUAACUACGUGCCAGCCGCCGCGGUAAUAC
rnacentral:rRNA from 1 species